UUGUUAUAAUGACUAUCUUGAUCAGUUUAAUUGUUGUCGCUAAUUUAUGAGUACUAUGCUGAUUCUCACUUUCAAAAAAAAUUAUUGUUGUCACGAUUAUUCGAAUCAACGUUAUUUUGUAAAUCUUAAAUCAAUUUUCUUUUUAUUGUUAUUAUUCUCCUCUAUACGAUAACCAUAUACUAAAUUGAUUUAUGGUAACAGUCAGUACCAAAAGUAAAUUUGUUUUCCUUUUACCAUUUUUCUAAGGGAGAGUUUAGAUUUAUACAAUGUUUAUUAUCAAUCUAUAGGUGCACUAUAGUUCGAAUUGAAAAGAAAUGAACAGCUCUACUUUAAUAAAUCUCUCAUUAAUUUAAAAUAUAAGUUAAAUACCUCUCCAUCUAUAUAUUUUAAAAGAUCUGUAAAAAAAAUUAUUGCCAAUGCAUAUAUUUUUAGUAUAACAUUACAUUUUUUCUACGCAGAUAAACGCUUAUGAAUGUUUUCAUUUACAAAAAAAAAAGAACUAUCCGAAGUCGAUGAGAAGAGUUAUAACAUGAACUAUUUUUUCAGUGGUCUUAAUUCGACUUAUUCGAUUAUUCCUUAAGGGGACUAAUGAAUGAAACAGAGUUUUGUCCUUGACUAAGCGACUUGAAUCGAUGAGGAAAGUUUUAUUAUGUUCGUUUCCAAUUCACAGAGUUUAGAAAAAAAACGAGAAAAUUUUUACGAAAGAUAGAAAAAACUAUUAUUAAAAAGAAGAACAAAACAAGUAGGAAUACAGCUCUAUGUUAACAGAGAUAAUUGGACAUUUGUUUCUAAGUUUCGAUAAAAUAUAGUUUACUAAGCUACAAAAAAAACUCAAUUUUAAUAUUAGUUAAUUAUUAAUUAGUAUCACAUGACGCUACCCCAGUUAUAGAAGUAUCUUUGCUGACUGAACAAAGUAAGGCUAAAUUUAUUUUUACGUUUGAAUAACGAAAGAAAAUAAUCAGUAAGCUUUCUGUUUAAAUUACACGUCAUUUAGUUCGUGUUGAUUGAUUUUUACGAAGUGGCGAUGUUUCUCCCACAAAAAAAUUUAGGCUUUCGAAAAACUAUAUCUGUAAAUUCUCAUAAAGUUUGACUUAGAUCAGAAAACUAACAAACGAUUAUUACCCUGAUUUGAUGUUAUUUAUUUCAACUUUCUCAGGUGACUUGUUGCGAAUUUUUUUCUUGCAUGCUAACAAAAAUCUUUUUACAAUUUAAUCUUAAGUACUUUGACUAUUGGUUCCAUUAAGCUUAAGAAAAUUUUAAAGAAUGAAGUGCUUUGAACUGUAAUGACAUGAAGCUUGUGUGCGGAAUUCAUCGUGAUACUUCACAUCUUACACAUGAAGAAAAGACUUAAUAAAAAAAGUAUGUUUGUGGUUCCCUGAAUUGUUGAUUAAUGAAAUUCUUAUCAAAAUACUUUUAUGCUAUUGAAAAAAAAGUUGAUCUCCAAUCUUUUUCAAAAGUAUUUCGUUUUCUCUCGGUUUUGAGCAAUGCUUACAUUCAUCUUAUCUUUGAAAUAAUAACUACACCAAAAAAGGAAAUUAUUAACGUUUAGUACACGUCACCUAAAGCUUGCUUCGUUGUUUUAUCACCCCAUCGCAAUAAAAAAAUUUUCAAAAAAAAAGUAGUUUUAGAUAAAAUUACAAUUGAAUAUACAAAUUUUUGAGAGAAUAUUAUACACAAUACGAUUACAAAAUUUGCUAAUGCUACUCUUUAACGAAAUCGUC